rnacentral:rRNA from 1 species
ACUAGGAAAACCUACCACUAAGACAGGUUUCAGCGACACCGUGGCGUGAACUUAUCCCGUGGUGUGAUCCAUGAUGGCGGAGGGGUGGUGAGUGCUGCGGUCCACUCGAGUGAGUAGGUCGGAGGCCGGAGAAACAAGUACAACGCAAAGAGUACUACCACAGAAUGUAGAAGGUGAAAAAACACCUCCGACAAGAUGAAGAAGCUUAAGUCCGCCGUAUUCCUCCUGGGCCACAACUAGACCGACUGCCCUCCUGGGCCGAUGACGUCGCUGGAUCGGGAAAAAAUGCUCUUACCGGGGAAGGUGUAUCGUCUGGUUGUACAGCGAUGAGACCUUACUCAAACCUACCCUAGGCCAUAUAAUAUAUAUGACUGUCAAACACAUGAUUAGUUAGUUAGACAUAUUAUAAAAAGAAUCUCUAACAAAUGUGGGACAUAUUAGAAGAGAGAAAAACCUAUAACCGAUGACGUCUUCAGCUUAGAAUAGAUACCACUAGUCGGUUGACCCUGACCCAAGUCGAUGUCGAGACUAAGCACACUAUGGGUGGUAUUGCUUCAACUCCACUUGGUCUCACUAAUAGGAAUAAACACUCAACGUUAGUUCUACGUUUUUACCGGAAGACACAAAAAGGAGUAUUCAAGGAACGUAGAAAUCCGUACGUUAAAACUAUCCGGAAGAAGUUCCUCGUAUACUCGACCGAUACACAUCACGAGGUCUUACGAAACGAAACUGACUAAAAAUCACACCACUGAUAAAGACAGAUAUUUUAACUCUUUCGUAAUUCUAAUAACACACACUAUAUAAAUCUUUCGUUAAUACAUUUUUUCCGUGUAUUCGGUCUUGGAUAUUUGGAUUUUGACUAUAACUUCUAAAAAUAUUAAUCUUGACUUCCCAAAUAUUAAUCUUAUAAUUAUGCCAAAGUGAGAAGUAUCCCGUGAACAUCGUUGGUGUAAUACUUUCCUAGCUGCUCCUUGCUAGACUAUACGUAACCACCGCUACUUCCAUCUUAAGGUUAUAUAGGAGGUUGUUCUGAAAUCAUGAUGGACACUACCUGCGGUAGUGGAUAAGAUUGAGAGCGUUCAUGGAUUACUAUAUACUACGGUGGUCGAUGAGACUACAUGGCACAUUUGAUGGCACACUAGAGGGACAUGAAAACACGUGCACAGGGGAAACCCUGCAGAAAGGUAGGAAAACAUGAGAUAGAUAGCACAUACUUGUAACAUAGGAAAUCAAGUGGGACAUAUACUUGUAACGUA